rnacentral:rRNA from 1 species
GUGGGGAAUAUUGGAAUGGGCGCAAGCCUGAUCCAGCCAUGCCGCGUGAGUGAUGAAGGCCCUAGGGUUGUAAAGCUCUUUCACCGGAGAAGAUAAUGACGGUAUCCGGAGAAGAAGCUCCGGCUAACUUCGUGCCAGCAGCCGCGGUAAUACGAAGGGGGCUAGCGUUGUUCGGAAUUACUGGGCGUAAAGCGCACGUAGGCGGACAUUUAAGUCAGGGGUGAAAUCCCGGAGCUCAACUCCGGAACUGCCUUUGAUACUGGGUGUCUGGAGUAUGGAAGAGGUGAGUGGAAUUCCGAGUGUAGAGGUGAAAUUCGUAGAUAUUCGGAGGAACACCAGUGGCGAAGGCGGCUCACUGGUCCAUUACUGACGCUGAGGUGCGAAAGCGUGGGGAGCAAACAGGAUUAGAUACCCCUGUAGUCC